UGUCACCGACUAGAAGCGUCGAAGUCUGAAGCUGUCGUUAUCAGUGUUGCUAUAUUGACCACCGCAAGCGUUAAAGAAUACCUUGAAUAAUAAACUUCAUAAAUAAGAUAAAUAAAAUGUUAUUAUGGAAACAAUUGAGAUAUUAGACAGAUUUUAUUUGUAUAUUCAAGAUAAACCAGAUUCCAUUGAGUUAAUUGUGAAGCAUCCAUAGACUUCUAUACGAGUAUGUGGUAGCGCUACGGUAGCACACGUCGACAAAAAGUAUUCCAAACAGCGAGCUACUGUGGGAAGUAUGGACAGCAGCAGAAAGAAGAGAUCAACACCAUGCUGAAGCACAGCUCUCUCACCAAUAAGCUAGGAGAAAGGAUCUUUGGGCAGAUGUACUUUAAGAUGAGCAAGUCAAGGCAUGUUUUUUUAUAAUCACGUUUUCCCUACUUACGAUGUGGCACAACUACAAAAUUGUGGAAUGGCUUGUUGGGAAAGGCUGUUAACAGCCCAAGGUCCCCAAUGUAGCAAGGAAGAAAAGCCAGGUAACAGGAGAAGCAGUAUUUUGCUCAACACCAUCUGACCAUGUCAGCAGCAAAGACACACCGGUCAAGGCAAUAGAAGAAAUGUUGUGGAAGAAUUAAAACUGCUGGAAAACCAGUUCAAACAGCAGUUGAGGAAGGCAAAAAGUUAUCUGGGACUGUAGACCACAUACACAUCCAUUGAAGUCAGACAAGAUGUUCUUGAUGCUAACAAACAAUUAUGUAUCAUUAUAUUAAAAAGUGUUCAAUUAAUGGAAGAAAAUGCUUGGAUGUUGACAGAGCCUACUAUGUUGAGGAAUUAAUGUCUAUUUCGUUAUUGAAAAUAUGCGGUCUUUAUGUGAUUUUGCAUCUUUUUCUUUUAAAUUAUGAUGUCUAAGCUGAACUUCUAAGAAUGUAUUUGAGAUUAUGUGGUGAAAUGGUUUGAAAAAAAUUGGGGCAUGAGACUGUUGAAGUUUGCCUGCAAAUGGUGUUGCCCUGACAUGCAUUAUGUAGGAUAUAUUUUCUUCAGUAAUGAUUUAUGGUAGCUAUCCAAGGCUCUAGCGAUGUGUUACAUAAAGCAAAGAAUGUGCCACAUUCUUUUGUUUACCAACAUGCAUACUCAAGUUACAUUGUAUAUUUAUUCAAAUCGGUCUCAUUCAUUGCUGUCAUUUCUUGCAUAUUUGAGGAUAAAAGGGAUCAAUUUUUGCAUCUUUUGUGCAUAUUUUCAUCAAUUCCCAUGAAAAACACAGUGAAAGUGAAGUGAGCAAAAUAUCUUAAAUUUAAUCAGUUAUGGUUAAUAUAAUGCAACAAUACACGUGAGCUUUGUAAUGCUCACAGAAAUACUUAACAGUCAAUAAACUUGUAAAAAAAAUGUAUAUGUUUAACAUAUUUUAUGUACUUUAAAGGAUACAGGCAAGAGUACACAAAAAGACAUCAGACCAUUUCAGCAACACACUAAUCACUCUUACAAUUUACACCACUUAGCACAACAUUUUUCUUUUUGAAAUUAGAAAAUGUUAGCUCUCUUUGUGUGAGAGAGAGCAUGUGUGUGUGUGUGCCUACACAUGUGUGCUAGCAUGUGCAUGCACAAAUAGACAAAAAAAGCAACUUGUGUGCACAGACAGAAACACACCAAACAAAAAUCUUGUACCUGUUACAAAUUGUUAAGAUAAUAUCAAUAUCUAGGUCCGAUGAAUACAGACUGUACCACAUUUUGCAUUAAACACAUUAUUGGGAAGAAAA